AGGGAGGAGAGAAAGAAGAGACCAAGGCAGGGAGGGGAGGGACACAGAGGGGGCGGGAGAGAAGAAAGGGGGAAAAGAAAGAUAGAAGGAGAGGAGACAAAGAGAGCGGAGAAGGGAGAUGCGGGGGGCGGGGAGGACAGACAAACCCAUGCAAUGGAAUCAAUCGGACCAAGGGCGGCCUAGGAGGCUUCUGCAAAGAGCUAAAGUUCACCCUGUUUCAUGGAAGGAAGCAGCUCCAAACCCGGCCGAGUCAGCAAAGUGUAAUCACACCAGGGGCUUUGCUUAAUGACAGGUCUGAGAGCUGGGGCUGGAGGAAGGGCGAGACUGUGUCCCCGGGAAGGCCCAGGAGCUCAAAAGAUUGGCAGAGAAGAAAACAUCAUCAAUAAACCCUGACAAAAGUGAACGUGUGAAAAAGAGCAGAGAAUGGAAAAGUGAGAUCAACGUGAUAUCCGGUCACAGAUUCCAGCGGCAGAUGACAAGCCCGGGCCGAAGAAUCUCCCUGGACCAUCACCCCUUUGCGGCUUUCCUUCCCUUUGCAGAAACUCUUCAUUCAAGACAAUAGGAAAUGCAUUAAAACUUUUUUCUUAUGCUAAUGCAUGAAACCGGGCACUCACGUUAAAAUACACUUCCCGCAACUUUUUUUUUCUUUUAAACAGCAUACAUGCACACACAAAACCACCUUAACUUAUUCCAUUUAAACCCCAUAUCUCAAAAACAGUUUAAUAUGAAUCUUUGGUCACAUCUUAAGUGAGUUCUUUUCCCCCAUGGGCAUGUUUUUAAGAAGCCAGAAUCAUAAUAGAAACAGGACUAUACUAAGUAUGCUUCUUAGGUAGAUGAAGGAAUUGGGGGGAAAAUAAGACACUAAAAAGGCAAAAAGUAUCAUUAGUACCUUUUCCCAACACUUUCAACAUAGUUUUGUAGGUUGAGGAUGUUUUUGUCACCUCCAAAAUCUAAAAACAACCAUCAAUGAUUUUUUUUUUUAAUCCUUUUCAGUCCACAGCAAAAUGAACAAACAUCCAAGUACAUUUUGGAAUAAAUAGUAUUGAUUCUGGUGUCA
rnacentral:lncRNA from 1 species